GACGAACGCUGGCGGCGUGCUUAACACAUGCAAGUCGAACGGAAAGGCCCUGCUUUUGUGGGGUGCUCGAGUGGCGAACGGGUGUGUAACACGUGAGUAACCUGCCCUUGACUUUGGGAUAACUUCAGGAAACUGGGGCUUAUACCGGAUAGGAGUUCCUGCUGCAUGGUGGGGGUUGGAAAGUUUCGGCGGUUGGGGAUGGACUCGCGGCUUAUCAGCUUGUUGGUGGGGUAGUGGCUUACCAAGGCUUUGAAGGGUAGCCGGCCUGAGAGGGUGACCGGCCACAUUGGGAAUGGGAUACGGCCCAGAAUCCUACGGGAGGCAGCAGUGGGGAAUAUUGGACAAUGGGAGGAAGACUGAUGCAGCAACGCCGCGUGCGGGAUGACGGCCUUCGGGGUGUAAACCGCUUUCGCCGGUGACGAAGCGUGAGUGACGGUAAUGGGUAAAGAAGCACCGGCUAACUACGUG
rnacentral:rRNA from 1 species